rnacentral:snRNA from 1 species
GUGCUCACCUCAGCAGCACAUAGACUAAAAUUGGAACGAUACAGAGAAGAUUAGCAUGGCCCCUGAGUAAGGAUGACACGCAAAUUCCUGAAGCGUUCCAUAUUAAA